AGCUUACCAGUGAUGUCCAAAUAUAAAUGUCUGAACAAAUGACUGUCCAGUGAUAUUAGUUUUACUCUGAGGUAAGCC